rnacentral:lncRNA from 1 species
GGAGCUGUGGCAGAGCAUCUAUAACUUGGAGGCAGAGAAGUUCGACCUGCAGGAGAAGUUCAAGCAGCAGAAAUAUGAGCCCCCUUCAGCUCCUGCAUCUGCCCCUGCUGCCUGGCCUUCAGCAGUGUUCCAUGUCCACCGCAUUGACGACUGCUUGCUGGAAGUGUCUGAGAGCUCGCUGGGGCUGAGCAGAGACACUUUCCUGGUGUUCCAACCCUGGGGGUCUCCAACACG